rnacentral:piRNA from 2 species
UGUCUGGUAGUUAGGUGAUGUCUGUCUGCA